UUACGUUGAAACAAUAGUUCCCAUUCGAUUACAGAAGUUUAGCAACGUUGAGCUUGGCCAGUAAUUAGAUGGGUGACCGCUUGUGAAUACUAGGUGCUGUAAG